rnacentral:lncRNA from 1 species
CCCCCCCCCCCCCCCCCCCCCCCCCCGGCCCGUCAAGCCUUUGGCAUCAUUAUCCUCAUCACUAAAUCCUACAGAGUACAGGGCGGAAAACGGUGCACAC